CAAAAUUCUAACUGUACGAUGUGUUGUGGUGCUUCGCUGUGCAGCUAGAACCGAAUGGGGUGAUUGCUGUGAGAGACAGUUAUGGGGACUCUUUCAGAGCUGGAAGAAAACUUGAAGUUAAAUCUGCCAAAUGCUACAAUUUACAACCGGGAAAAUUGAGACCCAGGACACCAGUGGAGUUAUGUGGAUUGCUGAUGGCAGAGUGGGGAGAAGUACUUCUUGGCCAGUAUCUCACAAAACGAAGAAUAAAUGGAGAAAAGACCCCCUGCUGGACAUGGAGAACCCUGGAGUUUUUUCUACCUACUACCCUGCCUUUUAACUUUACAAGAUACCAAAUCCAGAGAAGAAGGCAAAGAUUACUCACAGCCAGACAUCCCAGGACCCAAGGAUUAGAACUAAAAGCAUAGAUGAAAAAGGAUAACUGGACCAAUGGAGCUCCAAAAGACAGGUUUCGGAGUUCAGGGAUUGAAAGAAAGAGGUGAGCUCCAGGCUGCAGUGCAGAGCAAAGGUGAAGGGCUUUGGCAGAUUGCUAGGAGCGAGUGUUCAGAGUUAUACGUGACUUAUUUUGCUUUUAGGUCCCAUCCAGGGCCCCAUACAGGAGCAGAGACAAAGAUGGGAGGGUUCAUUUAAAAGAAUGGAAUGGAUACCUUUAAACUCCUGCCAAAGAACAGAUUUUAUUUGAUUUUUUUAACUGAUACACAUUUUUUUUUUUAAGUGAGGAAAUCUAAGUCAGAAGUUAAGAGCUCUAAUGAUUAAUUCAUAUGCAUGGACUUGUGAGAAGAAGUGUGAGGAAGCUUGAGAAACCCCGAGUGACGUAGAGCACCUGGUAGGAGUCACUGCGGACACUCCUUGUUUAAUGACCAUCUGGACUUAUGACCAGCCCCUCAGACUUAAGA
rnacentral:lncRNA from 1 species